AUGUACCAAUUAGUCGACCCCCGAAGGCACACUCCGCCUGUUCCCCCCCGCCGUGAUUAUCCCGGAGCGAGGCAAAAUGUGCCAUUGACCUCCUCAAGCCAACAACCUGCCAGCAGCCAGGUUCUUGACUCCCACUUUUUACAAAAUAGAAACCCAUCAAAACGCCCGCUUUUUGAACCCCCAAAAUUUGCAGGAAAACCGUCUGAAUGCAUUCAUGAAUUUCUCCGAAGUUACAAAAAAGCAGCGCGAGUAAACCGAUGGACUGAGCAGGAAAAGAUUGAUUUGUUGGAAAACUAUUUGACAGGUACUGCGUUAAAAUACAUUAAAUCAUUGGAUGAUAAAUAUGGAGCUACCUUGCAAUUCGAACCAACAGUACAGCUUUUGAUUGAUACUUUUGCCCCAAUGCAUAGAAAGACAAAAUUAGAAAUCGAGCUGUCACACAUGAAACAAGGUAUCAAUCAAACGCUUGAGGACUUUGUGGUUUCAGUAGAAAUGUUAGCAAAGAGAUGUGACCCUGACAUGCCUGAAAUUAAAAUUGUCAAUCUUUGUUUAAAAGGCAUGCAUAAAGACAUAGCUAAAGACUUGCUGCUUAGACCACAAAAUUCAAUGGCCGAUUUACGUGAAGGUAUGAAACUUUUAGAAACCCGAGAAUUUUUACUAAAUCAAGGUGUUAAAGAUAGCCUUUUGACCCCGCCAACUAAAGAGGAGAAAACAGAAAAUAAAGAGACCGAAGUCACAGCAUUGGUGAAAACUAUGCAAAACCAAAUGAAAACCUUAUGCGAAAAUAUAAGCCAAGUCAUAACACCAUCAUCUAGUGUUCCAAUAAAUGCGAUUACUGAUCAGUCCAUUGAAAUGAGAAGAAGCAGAAGCAGAGAGAAAGCUAACAACUCCUACGCUGAACGCCGAAAUUCCCAGUCCCCCUUCCAAUACAGAGAUAGUAAUUAUUCUCCAAAAUCAUACGAGGCAUCCCCCAACCCUUAUUAUAGAGAUACGCGUUAUACUGAUGAAAGGAAUCCGUCGAGCUACCGGCAAACCGAGUUCCGCAAUUACUCUCGCGACCGCAAUGACUCGCGAGAACGACCGAUACGGUCCCGAUUUGACUCUAGAGAUAGAUAUCCUUACUAUAGAGAUACCUCUAGAGAUCUUUUCGCUCGUGACGGAAACGGCGCUCGAAAUAGAAUACCCGAAAAUGACUCCAAAGACCGCUUCUCAAGAGGCAGAAAUGAUUCUCGCGAUAGAUACCGUAGAGACCGCAGCGAUUCUAGAGACCGAUACCGCGGUGAUUCUAGAGACCGCUACCGCGGUGAUUCUAGAGACCGCUACCGCGGCGAUUCAAGAGACCGCUACCGUAGCGAUUCUAGAGACCGCUACCGCAGCGAUUCGAGAGACCGAAAUCGCAACAAUUCAAAAGACAAAAAUACCCCUGAAACGACCGCCAAUCAGACUUCAAAAGUUAUUUGCUGGAACUGCAAUGGCGUCGGUCAUUUCCAGAACCAAUGC
rnacentral:lncRNA from 1 species